GGGCCCGUAGCUUAGCCAGGUAGAGCAGACGGCUCUUAACCGUAAGGUCGAGGGUUCGAACCCCUUCGGGCCCG
rnacentral:tRNA from 2 species